GGCGCGGAAGGUGUUUUACAGGAAGGCCGGGGAGCGCACGAAGAAAAAGGAGCGAGCGGAAUGAAUCUCCUUUUCAUAUAACGCCGUUCGAUGCGGCGCUGCAAUGAAUAUCCCGAUCGUAUGCACGUUCACUCGGAUGCAAACCCUUCUGGAUUCAAUGUCAAGCAAGUGUUUAAAGCCAGCUCUCCUACGCUCCCUUACACUAACAGGAAGCACUGGUGUUCAGUUACCGAGUUGCUGCAGGAAAACCCUGACGAUGUCCAUCUGUUCCAAGAUUCAGCUGAAGCCUCUAAUUUUUAGAAUGAAAGGUGAAUGUGAGCGAAGGGAAAUGAAACCUUUUCUCUCCUCCUCCCCGUCUUCGCCACACGCUCCAUUCCUGCGUACACUUUUCGUCUCAGGCUGACCCUCUUUGGUAGCAGAGCCAGCAUGGGGAGAAAAGUGCCUGUAGGGAUGGAGCGCAGGGAGAAGAUGGGGCAGAGUUCACUUUCCCUCCUCCACAGGUACCUUUUCUUACAAAAAAAUAGACUUCUCCUCGUGUUUUAUGUGCAUGGGGCAGAUAGAUAAACAAAUGUGGCUUUCAGUUUGGCUCAUCUGUGCUCUUAAGCAGGGCACUGUAGAUUCCAAGUUAGUUGCUGCUCAGAAUUUGAAACAACAAUGCCAAAUUCAUGUUUAUCCUGCUAGAGUGGGAAAGGAGUAGUACUGUCCAGUAUGUAAUUUUGGGUGUAAUUGUGGCUCUCUAUGGAAAUGAUUACUUAGGAUUGUCAACACAGUUCUGGAAAUUGAACUUGUGGCUCAGGCAGCCACUUCACUGCAGUCACAAAUUAUUGCCCUUUACUUCACCCUGCAUUGAUCCUGUGCUGUGCUGCACCAUUGUGGUGGUUUUUUGUUUUCUUGUUUUGUUUUGCUAUUUCUUCCAUGCAAGAGUUUGCUUAGCCAGUUUAUGCCAAUAUUGGGAAGGGAAGACAGACAGGAAACCUGUGGCAGAAGUGCAUUGGAUUUUAAAAUGCAAUCUGUCCCAGUUAAUUAUAAACCUUAUUAUGAUAGCAACACAUCAAGAGAUAAACUCUGAAUUAUAUAGUUGUUGCAAGGAUAGCACAUACUAACUAUAGUUUUGAGUUGAAGUAAAUGUAAUGAAAUCUAUUUUCCAGCUACACACAUUGCUUCUGCCUAAACACUUGUUCAGAUUUUUCCAGGUGAAGUGACCCAACCAUCCCCAAGUAUAAAACUGUGGAAGAAGUAACUUCCGACUUGGUGUAUCCCUAGAUGCAGCUACCACUUUCCAGCAGUGGUUUUCAGGAGGAUAGUGUCACAUUUUUCAGCUGUUAUGCUGGCAUCGAUUGCUACUGAAAAGUGGCAGCUGUUCCAGGAAGCGCAGAUCAGAUGUUAACUUUCUUCCAAGAACUGCAGGCUGCUCUUUGUGGAGUGAUUUGUAAAGCCUUCUGAAGUGGCCCUGAGACUCAUGUACAUGGUGGCCAGGGCCACCCCACCCAUGAGGCAAGGUGAGACUACUACCUCAGGUGGCAGGAUCUACGGGGUAGCAGGUCCAGUCUCCAAGGAAUGCCUUGCCUGCUGCUGCUGCCACUGCCACUGCCAUGCACUCCUUGCCGCCUCCUCAGCAGUCCCCACCAUGCCACCUCUAUAGCAGCUUCUUGGCGAAUAGGAGGCACUCUUGGUCUCCUCCCACAGCAUGAGACGAAAUGGUGGGGGCUGUCCUCUGGGGAUUUCUGGGCUCUGCACCUGGCCAGUGUGUUAUAGAGUGAGCCCCUUCCCUACCCAUCCACAAUGACCUUUGAUUCCCAUAUGGUAAUGUUGAGGUGAGUACCAUCCCCUUGUUCCCAGUGUUGAUCUUUAUUCCCCCUUUGUUCCUGAUGUAGAUCUUCACUCCAUCCCUGGCAGGAAGGGGGGCGGAACAGACCAUACCAUUUUGUGGUUUGCCUCAGGUGCCAAAAUGUCUUGGAUCGGUCCUAAUGGUGGCCAUCCUAAAACCUUCCAUAUAAUGUCCCCCUCCCUACCUGUGACAAGCAUGUUGUAUUCAACCACAAUCACACCUAGGGUGAAUCUUUCAGUACUCAUUGGUAAGUGUCCAACACAACCAGAAAGCCAAAUCCACAACUGACCUGCUACACUUCAGGGGAUACUGUUGGGAGAGCAGUGUAAUCGAUGCCUGCAUUUAUCAUUAUUAUGGGCCUGUGUUCCCCCUGCUACUUUGGCAUUACAAAGAAAACCUCAUAAAACACUGAUAUGGGAAAACAUCAGAGAACGCUGUAGCUGAUGUUGCCUCAUUGAGAUUUGGAACACGUUCACAGAAUUUCUGUUUGACCCCUGAGGAACAGAUUUACCUCAGCAUGUGUUGAAUGUAAGCUGCUGCUGCUUCUCCCUGUCUUUCUCUUUGACAAUUAAGUUUUCUUGUAUCAGCUUUAUUUCUUGUUUCUUUUUGGUGUGUUUCCACUGGACUUGCUGCUGCUGGUUUGACCACUUUUUGUCCACUCAGCAGUAAUAAAAUAUGCUUUCACUCUUAAA